UACGUAGGGGGCAAGCGUUGUCCGGAAUCAUUGGGCGUAAAGCGCGCGUAGGCGGCCCGGUAAGUCCGCUCUGAAAUCCAGGGCUUAACCCUGGAAAGCGGGUGGAUACUGCCGGGCUUGAAUCCGGAAGAGGCGAGUGGAAUUCCUGGUGUAGCGGUGGAAUGCGCAGAUAUCAGGAAGAACACCAACGGCGAAGGCAGCUCGCUGGGACGGUACUGACGCUGAGAAGCGAAAGCAUGGGGGAGCGAACAGG
rnacentral:rRNA from 1 species